CCUACGGGCGGCAGCAGUGGGGAAUAUUGCACAAUGGGCGAAAGCCUGAUGCAGCAACGCCGCGUGAAGGAAGAAGGGUUUCGGCUCGUAAACUUCUAUUAACAGGGACGAAAGAAAUGACGGUACCUGAAUAAGAAGCCCCGGCUAACUACGUGCCAGCAGCCGCGGUAAUACGUAGGGGGCAAGCGUUAUCCGGAUUUAUUGGGUUUAAAGGGUGCGUAGGCGGAAUAUCAAGUCAGCGGUAAAAAUUCGGGGCUCACCCCCGUCGUGCCGUUGAAACUGAUGUUCUUGAGUGGGCGAGAAGUAUGCGGAAUGCGUGGUGUAGCGGUGAAAUGCAUAGAUAUCACGCAGAACUCCGAUUGCGAAGGCAGCAUACCGGCGCCCAACUGACGCUGAAGCACGAAAGCGUGGGUAUCGAACAGGAUUAGAUACCCGUGUAGUC
rnacentral:rRNA from 1 species